rnacentral:rRNA from 1 species
UACAGAGGGGGCAAGCGUUGUUCGGAAUUACUGGGCGUAAAGGGCGCGUAGGCGGCCAACUAAGUCAGACGUGAAAUCCCUCGGCUUAACCGGGGAACUGCGUCUGAUACUGGUUGGCUUGAAUCCGGGAGAGGGAUGUGGAAUUCCAGGUGUAGCGGUGAAAUGCGUAGAUAUCUGGAGGAACACCGGUGGCGAAGGCGGCAUCCUGGACCGGUAUUGACGCUGAGGAGCGAAAGCCAGGGGAGCAAACGGG